rnacentral:rRNA from 1 species
GACAGAGGCUUCGAGCGUUAGGCGGAAUCACUGGGCUUAAAGCGUGUGUAGGCGGGCCCGUAAGUGUCUUGUGAAAUCCCCGGGCUCAACCCGGGAACUGCGUCCGAUACUGGUUGGCUUGAAUCCGGGAGAGGGAUGCGGAAUUCCAGGUGUAGCGGUGAAAUGCGUAGAUAUCUGGAGGAACACCGGUGGCGAAGGCGGCAUCCUGGACCGGCAUUGACGCUGAGGCGCGAAAGCCAGGGGAGCAAACGGG